rnacentral:lncRNA from 1 species
AUGGCAGCAGGGGUUCCACUCACCACCCAGGUAGCAGAGGCUCCCAGAACAGGGCCCGCCCGGGGGUCCCUGCUCCGUGCGAUGGCCUCCUCUUCCUCUCUUCUUUCCACGGUCUCUUCGCACUGCGUAUUGUGGGUUGUUCUUCCAGCGGGAAGGCCCGUGUGUAGCCCAGCCCCCCGGGCCCAGGAGAUGCCCCAGAGACAGAGCCCCUCGGAUAUCUGGCAGCUAAUGAGGAAUGAAACACUUCCAGCUUCUGCACCAACGUCGAAGGCUAAACCCAAGAGAGGAGUGCCGCUGACUGCCGCUCGGAGCCACAGCAUCGCAGCGAGGCAAGGACCUACUCCUCCUCCUGUGACAUCCCGACAGGUGCUCACCCAGCUUGUGCUCACACAUCCUCAGUGGCAGGGAGCUCACUACCUCAUAAGGCACUCGAUGGGGCAGACGCCGUCUUCCUGGGGAUCGAAUGACCACAGAAGGAAAAUAACUUAG